CUGACUUCGGGGACGUUAAGGGCGGCGAGCGGCGGACGGGUGAGUAAUGCCUGGGAAAUUGCCCUGAUGUGGGGGAUAACCAUUGGAAACGAUGGCUAAUACCGCAUAAUACUUUCGAGUCAAAGAGGGGGACCUUCGGGCCUCUCGCGUCAGGAUAUGCCCAGGUGGGAUUAGCUAGUUGGUGAGGUAAGGGCUCACCAAGGCGACGAUCCCUAGCUGGUCUGAGAGGAUGAUCAGCCACACUGGAACUGAGACACGGUCCAGACUCCUACGGGAGGCAGCAGUGGGGAAUAUUGCACAAUGGGCGCAAGCCUGAUGCAGCCAUGCCGCGUGUAUGAAGAAGGCCUUCGGGUUGUAAAGUACUUUCAGCAGUGAGGAAGGCGGGUGUGUUAAUAGCGCAUUCGUUUGACGUUAGCUGCAGAAGAAGCACCGGCUAACUCCGUGCCAGCAGCCGCGGUAAUACGGAGGGUGCGAGCGUUAAUCGGAAUUACUGGGCGUAAAG
rnacentral:rRNA from 1 species